UCACAUUCUCUACUAUACAUAAAAGAGUUUUUAUCAUCUUCUAGAAUGUUCCAGAGAACUCCAUAAUGUUCUCGAACCUUCUAAAACAUUCUAGCUCAUUCUAGUAAUAUCUAGCUUUGGUUUAAUUUAUUGUUCACGUUAAAUGACAGAAUAGUAUUAGAGGAACGGGUGAAUCAACAGGACAGCAACAAGAGGAACAAACAAGAAGCAGCGAUUCUACAGCUCAAAUAGCACCCAGACUUCCAAUCGGAACUCGGCCUAGAGCUUUGAACAAUGAGCGAUAAUUCCAAGGCUCGAAAAUAGCUUUUAUAUAUGAAAAUUUCUGGUCGCUUUGGAAUCAACUUUUCAACUCAAACAGCUUUAAAAUUCUAGGAGAUAUGCAACAACUAAGUAGAAAUUAGAAACAACUUUGAAUCUCUUCUUCUUUUUUUUGUGUUCUUCGUCUCUUCAGAUCGGAGGGUCAAAUUUUUGAAUCCAGAAAUUGAUUUUUGGCUUCUCUACUGUAAGUGAAGGUGGAAGAAACAGGAAAAAGGAAUGGGGGCUUAUUGCAUCAAUCUUGCUGAGAGUCAAAAAUGACAGAGGGUGCUCGAUUUUUGUGUGUUCUUCAGAGAAGGGUCUCUCACGAUUUUUGCGUGUCCCUUCCUGAUCUCCUCUUAAGGGUUUUUAUUAGAUUUUAAUUAGAAGGGUCUUGGGUCAAACCGGGUCAGGUCAUGUGUAAAUUUGGGCUCGCAGGUCAAUUAGGCAAAAUGGGAUGUUGUGUUUGGACUUCGGUAAUUAUUUGGGUUGAUUUUACUUUGAAAUGACCCAAUUUCACAAAAUAAAUCCUUUUCCAAUUCCUUCUUUUACUUUCUAAUUUUUCUUUUCUUUUCUUUUAAUUAAAAACCUACAAAAUAAACAUUCUAAAUUAUCAAAAAGUGUGAAACUAAACUAAUUGGUUAUUUAUAAAAAUUACAAAAGCUACUUAAUCAUAUAUUAAAAGAGCAAAAAUAAUAAAAGGAAAAAGUUUAAAAAUAAAAUAUUUUUUAUGAUAUUUAAUUUUUAUAAAUCAUAUGACAAUGAUUAAUUCUCAAAAAUGUAAAAAUAAAUCCUAAAUGCCAUGAGUGAUAUGUUUUUGUAUUUUUCACGAUUUAAAUGAAACAUAAACAUGAAAGAAAUGCAAAAAAUCCUACAAAAAUUCAUAAAAUAUCAAAUAAUUAACUAAAAACUAUUUUCUUUGGAUUUUAUAGGAGUAUUUCAUAUAGGAAAAAAUCAUGUUCUCACAUUAGCCGGCUG
rnacentral:lncRNA from 1 species